ensembl:lncRNA
AAACUCUGUAUAUUUGUGCAGUGUGCAUGAGUCAAAAGAUCAAAUCUGAUAUUAAAACUUGUGACAUAUAAAUGCGCACAUCAACCUGAUCACUUUAUUUAGCAUUCAUGUAAACACUGUGUUCGGAUUAAUCAGUCGGAAUGAUUUAAUUCUGAUUGAAACAAAAGAUGUCCAUGUAAAUGUAUCUAAUGUCAGGUUUCCUUUUUAUGUAUAAUUUCUGGUUACUUUGAAUUACUAUGGAUAAUAUCACUAUGUAAACUAUGUUUUGUUUAAUAUUUGUUAGCAGCAGUUUUAAAUUUCAACAGACUUGUUUGUUUCUGUUAAGAUUCAAGCAUCCCACAACUUGUGUCUGAACAAAUUAAAUGUCUAAAAAUGUACUUUGGACAUCACAGCUUUAAACCGUAAGUUUUGAAGUAGGAUUUGUGUGUCAUUUACUAUACUAUUGCUUAUGCUUGUAAAUAAGUUUAUGUGUAGUUGUUAUUGCCAUUAGCACACUGUUUGUUUUAUAUAUGAUCUUAUGGUUUUUCAGAGUUAGUGGAAAGUGAUUCACUCUAUUCUCAUGGAGAUGAGAGAUAAUCUUGUUAUUUUCACAACUGGUAUAACUUUUCCUUGAUCAUUGAAAUUAUGACAUAUUUACUAAAUUAUCUUGUAGUCGUUAUAGUCGUUUUCUGCCCAGCUCUAAUCUGCUAAAUGUGAUUAUAAGGCAUGAACACGUUAAGAAAAGUGCUAUACGAAUAAAUUUGACUUAACUUUGUGUUCAAAUGUCAGCUCUCAUGAAUUGCUGUGUUGGCAGGUUAUGGGAAGAGUUUGUGUUUCCAGUUUCAAUUUCAGUGUGGUAAUUUCUCCUCUCAUCGCCCUCAUGGAGGACCAGGUGCUUCAGCUACAGUUCCUAUUUUGGCACUCAUGGCUACUGCGAGUCCAUCUAUUCGUGAGGAUAUCAUUAAGAGCCUUCAUCUGAUCAAUCCUCUGAUCCCCUCCACCUCCUUCGACCAACCAAACCUCUACCUUGGAUGUCAAUCACAAGUCUGGUGACAUUAUCCAAGACCUCAAACAAUCUCAUCAAAAAAAGGGUAAGCCAUGCUGAUUCUUGUAGUAACUUGUGAGGAAUUAUUUUGCAUGAGGAGUGUUCAAAGAUUGCUUAAUGCAGUGGCUUUUAAACCAGAUGGCCAGGACCCAGUAGUAACAUAUGUAAGUUGACAUCAAUUUUUAUUUCAUUUAUUUUUUUUAUUUAUUCCCUCAAAUUUUAAGUUCCAGGAUUCUCACAAUCUUGUAAAAUCUGUAUAUACAGUAUGAGGGAAUUUUGUGUCAUUUCUAAAUUUUUACUAAUGAUUAUAAUAUUUUCUAAAAUAUUUUUGAGUAGAAAUUUAUAUUUGUGAGUAAAAAAAAAAAAAAAAGAAGAAAAUCCCAGUAAUAACAAACAACUUGAAGUCAUAAAUUUACUUUUGAACAAUGAAGAACAUUCAGUUAUUGAAACUGCUGGAAUUAUUUGAUUUAAUUAUUUUUAUUGUCUAUAAUA